AUACGAAAGGUGCAAGCGUUGUUCGGAUUUACUGGGCGUAAAGAGAUCGUAGGUGGUUUAUUAAGUCGGAUGUGAAAUCCCGGGGCUCAACCUCGGAACUGCAUUCGAUACUGGUAGACUAGAGUUCGGGAGGGGUAAGCGGAAUUCCGUGUGUAGCAGUGAAAUGCGUAGACAUACGGAGGAACACCUGAGGCGAAGGCGGCUUACUGGACCGAUACUGACACUGAGACUCGAAAGCGUGGGUAGCAAACAGGAUUAGAAACCCCGGUAGUCC
rnacentral:rRNA from 1 species